GUAGGCUGCAACUCGCCUACAUGAAGUUGGAAUCGCUAGUAAUCGCGAAUCAGAAUGUCGCGGUGAAUACGUUCCCGGGUCUUGUACACACCGCCCGUCACACCACGAGAGUUUACAACACCCGAAGUCAGUGGCCUAACCGCAAGGAGGGAGCUGCCUAAGGUGGGGUAGAUGAUUGGGGUGAAGUCGUAACAAGGUAGC
rnacentral:rRNA from 1 species